CACUAUCUAUCUAUCAUAGUCACUCUCUCCCUUGACCUCAUGGGCAUGAAAACUUCCAGAAGCAUUUUGGUAGUGCAUGGAAGAUGACACACUCCUCAGUCUACCUGGCCAAUCUGCAAUGGGUGAUAGAAACCAGUUAGAGAGCAUUCCCUGGAGUCGUACGGCUGUGUGUUGGGAUGCAUCGGUCAGAGCUGCCUGACACUUCAGAGACUUUAUAGCACUUAAUACAAGGCAGACCCCUCCUGCUUUUUGUGAUUGGCCAAUCAGCAGCAAGUGGGAAGAUCUUUGUACUUCUAACUUUUUAUU